ensembl:lncRNA
CAAAAAUAUAAUGUUUUGUUAAUUCAACGUUGUCACCUUGAAAAGCCCUCAGUCAAUUAAUUGUUUCUGGAAAACCUGGGAGGGAGGGAGGCAGGCAGUCAGGGAAGCAGGUAGGCAAGGAGGCAGGUAGGCAAGGAGGCAGGUAGGCAAGGAGGCAGGUAGUGGGACAGGGAGGGAGGGAUGCAGGCUGGUGGGAAAGUAGGGAUGGAGGGAGGCAUGCAUGCAGGGAGGCAGGUAGUGGGACAGGGAGGGAGGCAGGCAGGGAGGCAGGUAGUGGGGCAGGGAGGGAGGCAGGCAGUGGGACAGGGAGGCAGGCAGGCAGUGGGACAGGGAGGGAGGCAGGUAGUGGGACAGGGUGGAAGGUAGGCAGGUAGUGGGGCAGGCAGGUAGUGGGGCAGGCAGGCAGUGGGACAGGGAGGGAGGUAGGCAGGUAGUGGGGCAGGCAGGUAGUGGGGCAGGCAGUGGUGCAGGUAGUGGGGCAGGCAGUGGGACAGGGAGGGAAGUAGGCAGGUAGUGGGGCAGGCAGGUAGUGGGACAGGCAGGUAGUGGGGCAGGCAGUGGUGCAGGUAGUGGGACAGGCAGGUAGUGGGGCAGGCAG